rnacentral:misc_RNA from 1 species
CUUGAGUUUUCAGUCUGAUCGUCAGUUCCGAAUUCAAGUAUGGGUACUCCCGUUGUUAGGGUUAAAGAGGGGUUGCUUCGCGGUGCUACGGCGGAAACUAUUACCGGAGCACCUUACAUCUUUUUCAAAGGCAUACCGUACGCGGCACCACCGGUGGGCAAAUUAAGAUUUGCGGAGCCAUCGCCUCCGCAACCAUGGACUGGGCUCAGAGAUGCGUUGGAGCACGGACCAAGUUGCCCCCAACAUGAUCUGCAUAACGUGCCGGUUGUUGGCUGCAACGAAGACUGCCUCUAUCUUAACGUAGCCACGACCUCGUUGAAAGGAUCGCGACCAGUAAUGGUUUUUAUUCACGGAGGAGCCUUCAUCGGCGGUCACGCGAACUUCGAAGUGUUUGGUCCAGAUUACUUGAUGGAAACAGGCGUCGUUUUUGUUUCCAUGAACUACAGAGUCGGCGUCCUUGGUUUCCUGCAACUCGACGAUCCGGUGGUGCCCGGAAAUAUGGGACUCAAGGAUCAGGUUGCAGCUCUGAAAUGGGUUAAAGAAAACAUAUCUCAAUUUGGAGGAGAUCCUGGCAACAUCACAAUAUUCGGAGCGAGCGCGGGAGGUGCUUCUGUGCAUUAUCAAGUUUUGUCUCCACUUUCCAAAGGUCUUUUUCACAAAGCCAUCGCGCAGAGUGGCACCGCGUUGGACCAUUGGACAAGUGUUCCGGACACAGCCGAAGCUUUGCGUCGGUACAUGGCUGCUUUCGGAAAAGAAACUAGCGACCCUCAAGAGAUCGUAGAAUUCCUCAGGUCUAUUCCGGCAGAAGAACUCGUUAGGGUGCAACACGAUAUAGUGAGCCCAGAGGAUAGGCGCUGGUUGCAAUAUCCUUUCCUUCCGAGUAUCGAUGACAAAAGUGAAAAACCAUUCAUGCCCAAGAGCCCGAAGGAACUUGUCUUAGAGGGGACUGAUGUGCCUCUUAUGCUCGGGUAUACCAGUCACGAAGGGAUUUUAUUUGUGAUCGGACUCCAAAAUACUCUGUCUACGAUGUUCGAUAAGAAUUCCAAGCUUCGUUUGCCGGAUGGUCUAGUUGCGAAUGACCAUCCAAAAAGGAAUGCCGUCGGUGACGAGAUGAUGAAAUUUUACUUUGGAGACAAACCGAUGACCGAGGAGUCGGUUCAAAAUUGGAUCCAAGCAUGUGGCGACAUAUCCUUCGUUUUUGGUGCGCAAAAAGUAGCCGAGAUUCAACAAAAAAAAAAUGUUCCAUGCUACCUUUACAAGUUAUCGUUUGACGCUGAGAAAUCGUUUGGAAAAUUUAUUUUCAAGGCAUCGUACACAGGGACUGCGCACGGUGACGAUCAUCCGUAUCUAUUCUACAUGAAGAUCACCGGUGAUUACUUAAGAUAUAAACCCGGCUCACAAGAGCAAAUUGUAUCCGACAGAAUGAUAAGGAUGUGGACCGACUUUGCGAAGACCGGAAAUCCGACACCGCGAAUCGAUGAUCUGAUAAAGGUUGAGUGGCUUCCGGUUUCAAGGACAACGAAGCAUUACUUACUUAUUGACGCGGAGCUUUCCGCGGGCGUUAAUCCAGACGAAAAGGUGGUUAAGCUCAGCCAUCGAAUAUCUGAAAUCCUCAACACUGAAUAGUACUCAUUGUCAACCAUGUAGACAACAGUUGAGUUAUCGAUUUAGAAUAUACAAUAUAAAUUCGAGUCGCGAGUGACUUUUCACAAUUCUUAAUCUCAGCUCAAUUUGAUGGGGUGAGUUAUUACGAAACGAGUGGCCUUAGCAUCAUCUCGAUAUACUUGGCGCCGGACUCUGCAUGGUCCAAGUCCAAGUUUAUUAACCUGACUUUAAUCUCGCACGAAGAUAACAAGGCCAAAUCCGACGCGGUGUAUUAUUUAUCAACUGUGACCUUGCACUGUUUUAUACAUUUCCUUGGAUGCGGGAGUUUCUUCGGUGCCCAAAUCGAGAUUGCAUCAAUUA